rnacentral:rRNA from 1 species
UACGUAGGGGGCUAGCGUUGCUCGGAAUCACUGGGCGUAAAGCGCACGUAGGCGGAUUUUUAAGUCAGGGGUGAAAUCCUGGAGCUCAACUCCAGAACUGCCUUUGAUACUGGGAAUCUCGAGUCCGGAAGAGGUGAGUGGAACUGCGAGUGUAGAGGUGAAAUUCGUAGAUAUUCGCAAGAACACCAGUGGCGAAGGCGGCUCACUGGUCCGGUACUGACGCUGAGGUGCGAAAGCGUGGGGAGCAAACAGG